CCCGGCGGUCAUACCGGAGGGGCCACACCCGUUCCCAUCCCGAACACGGCAGUUAAGCCCUCCAGGGCCGAUGGUACUGCACUGGUAACGGUGCGGGAGAGUAGGUCGCUGCCGGGG
rnacentral:rRNA from 1 species